ACCUUGACAGUUGUAACCGAUAGACUGGGCUGGGGCAAUGCUGAUGAAAGGCAAAUUCCUGAGAGAAAAAUCACCCAGAUUUUUCAGUGCCUUCUCUAGCUUUCUGGAAGUUGUUAUGAGUGGACCUGACUACCUAGAGAGAGUAAUACAGAAGCUCCCUGCCGAUCACAGCUACCUCAUUACCAUGUUCCUCCAAGAUGGCCGCCCCUGAGGAGAAUCAUCAACUGGGCUUUACGGAAGAGAGAAAUCCAAACGACCAUCAGCAACAAAUGAAAGACUGAAGUUGAAAGGCAAGUCUUCAGAUUUGAAGUAAGAGCUUGAGAAGAAAAAUGAAAAAAGAAUCCUGGGGAGGACCAGCAUUUAGUGGGGUGAGGAAGAAGAGAAAAGCAGCAAGUAAAGGAUAAAAAGAAAUCCAUAAUUUUUGAAUGCUGGCUGAGGUCUGUGACCUCUGACUGAAUGGUUUCCAAGCUCCGAAUUCCUAGGUGAUGUUUUCAUUUGUUCACAGUUGCUGAAGAAGGGAAAGGCUCUCUGAUUUACGUGUAAGCAAAACAAUCUAAACAGUAGGAUAAAAUCAUGUUGGAAUGGAGUUCUGUGUGGAUGCUCCUUUGA
rnacentral:lncRNA from 1 species